rnacentral:rRNA from 1 species
CGCACGGGUGCGUAACGCGUGGGAAUCUGCCCUUGGGUUCGGAAUAACAGUGAGAAAUUGCUGCUAAUACCGGAUGAUGUCUUCGGACCAAAGAUUUAUCGCCCAGGGAUGAGCCCGCGUAGGAUUAGGUAGUUGGUGGGGUAAUGGCCUACCAAGGCGACGAUCCUUAGCUGGUCUGAGAGGAUGAUCAGCCACACUGGGACUGAGACACGGCCCAGACUCCUACGGGAGGCAGCAGUGGGGAAUAUUGGACAAUGGGCGAAAGCCUGAUCCAGCAAUGCCGCGUGAGUGAUGAAGGCCUUAGGGUUGUAAAGCUCUUUUACCAGGGAUGAUAAUGACAGUACCUGGAGAAUAAGCUCCGGCUAACUCCGUGCCAGCAGCCGCGGUA